rnacentral:lncRNA from 1 species
CACCUGUUCUAUCUCUUAUUCUCUCUACUGAAUCUAUACCAACUAAAAGAAAAACACCUCUUGGACACACAAGAGCUGUUAUCUUUUGUCCUUGCCCAGCUUUUCAGGAAAACCCUAUGAAAGGGGUGCCUACAUAGUCCCCACAUCCCAUCACCCGUCUUUCCCUCACUGCCACUUAAGCCUGACUUCUGGCAAGAGGGUCACAAUGCCUCCUGCAUGACCUCACUCAGCCCUGCCUCUAUCCAUUGAUCUGACCCCUAAUUAUGUGGUCACUGGCAGCUGCUCUCAGGUGUCCUUGCUCAAGGGAACACACAGCACACAGCCUGUGGAGGGUGGAGGAACCAACUGCAAGUUUCCGGACUGAAUUUAAACUCAUUCCCAGACCACUUGUCCCUGUCAAGUGAUGUACACUGAAGAAAGAGCCUCCUUCAGGCUGUGAGGUCUUCCUGUCAUCCUGACCAAUCAUUUCCCACCAUGAGACUGCUGUACCUUCUCUUUCUCUUUCUUGGAUAUCUGAUACAAACAGCCUCAGGAUAUGAGAGAAAGGAUAUAUUCCUUGAAUGUGAACACAUGGGUGGUGUCUGCAGGCACCAAAAAACCCACGGAUGCUCUAUCCUGCCUGCACUGUGCAAAAGCCGGUACAAACACUGCUGUAGGCUGUAGCUGCAACAGCCACAGGGGCCUCAGGGUAGCCCAGAAGAACUACAGCCCCUGACUUCUGCUGAAUAAAGCCAUCACCACCCAUGGGACCCUGUUGCUGAGAGCAUGCUUAACUUACAGACCGUUGGACCAGAGGCGGGAGAACUUAGAAUCUGGGUUUGGUCACACCACUAACUCCCUGAUUAAUUUUGAAUAAGGCCUUUUUUUCCUAGGUUUCAGUUUCUGCACCUCUGACCACUGAAAUAGGUAUUUUCUAAGACACCUAUAUGCUGUUUAUAUGUCU